rnacentral:lncRNA from 1 species
GGCUUGGAGGAGUAUUCAAUGAAGACCUAUCGAAGACGUGUGCCUAGCUAGCAAAUGUAAUAGUUAGGGGUUUAAUUGUCUUAUGUGUCUUGCAUGCUUAGUUGCUACGUGUUAAUUUGCUUUGUUAGGACCUUGCAUCUAGUCGAGCAUGCUAAGUGUUAUGUGCUAUGUGUUUAUGAGUGUUUGGCAUGUCUACUCGCUUUCCAUAGCCUGAAUGAAUGUGAUGGAUGAAUGGACGUUUCCACUAGUCCAAUGCUAGUCGGAAUUCAUAGAAUGGGCUAGUCCAACGCUAGACCCUUAGGGAUUUCCCCUCGUUAGCACAUAUUUGCAUGUUCAUUACAUGUCAUGCAUUCUUUUUAGUUUUAUCAUUUUGCAUGCCCCUCGAACCCCUUUUCCCUCCAUUUUAGGAUUUUUGCAUUUCAUGCUAGCUAUAGGGUUCAUUUGAUUGAGAGUCCCCUUAAAUAAGGGAUAUAGACGAGUGUGGCUUUUUCUAAGCCUUAGCACGCUUGU